CGAGCACCAAGAGUGGACGCGGUGGACGGCAACACAGUCACCCUCAGGUUGGCUCCUGUCGACUUCCGCAACGGGCCAUUGACUGCCUACUACUUGCUCGUCGUGAAGAAAGUACACGAAGUUGUGGCACCCAUAAGGCUUCUCAACAUCAGUUCGGCGGAAGACUCGUACCUCGGUUACUACGUGGGAGCCAGUUUCACACCGGAGGAAGUCGGCGACGGGAUACGGUUCGUCGUAGGUGCUGGAGACACCGUCGGCGGCUUCGCAAAUCCUCCACUCGAAGCCGGUGCUCCGUACAGCUUCGGAUGGGCAGCCGAGACGAAUUUCUCGGGUGAAACCCUGUACGGCUACCGGCUCACCGCGCCAAUAAUCG